UUUAUGUUUUUUGUUUUUUUAGUUUUUUUUCUUUUUUUUUUUUCUUGUAACUCGUGU
rnacentral:ribozyme from 14 species